AUUUCAGAGUCAACAAGGAGGUAUUACUGAGGGCCACCUGGCUGCAGGUCCCCAAGACAGGCCAGCUGCAAAUGGGCCCACCUGGCUCCAAGGGGAGAGAUGAAGUAAGGUGGCCCAGACAUGACCUGAAACUCAGCCAUCCUGCAGCCAGGCCGGACCCCGAGGGACAGUGAGCCUCACUCCAUUUCCCAGCAAGCCUCCUGCCGGCUCUGCGGAUGUGUCCCUGGACAGGACGGGCCCUGGCUGUGACAGAAAAUGACACUGACCCGUUCCCAGCGUGCCUGCACUCCCUAACAGCCACGUCCAAUGGAGGAGAAGUGGCCUUCCCACGGCUCAGGCCCUCUCACUGCACACCAGCCGGGGAAAGGGAUGUCACAGGGGAACCAACCAGCCCCAGCCCCGGGUGAAAAUCCGCGUCCAGUCAGGCAGGAGGUGCCGCAGGGGACAUGGGCGCUCGAGGCCCAGGCACCACCAGGGCCGCCCUCACCCUCUCCCGCCCCCUGCUGGCUGAGCGUCGUCAGGCUUCAAUCCCGCUGGGCCUCAGGUGGGGGUCGUGCUGGGCAUCCUCGUGGACCUGGUGGCCGGCAGGGUGGGCUCCAGGCCCGGACUGCCCAGGGCCUCCUGCUCCCUCAGCCUCAGGCCUGGCUGCCUCUGGGUGAGCAGUGAGCACCUCUGGAUCAGAACGAAGCCCUCUGCUGCAGAAGAGGAAGGGCCUGAACCAGGAGGGAACAAGGGUGCAGGUGUGCUCGGGAAGGCGGCACACCACGGCGGGGACUCUGUUUCUGCAGCCUCAAGGCAAGAGGCCAGCAUGGUGACUUCUGGCCGCUCCCCAGCCUGAGCCUGGGGCUGGCCCAACGCCGUUACCUGCUGCUGGGCGAAGAAGUCCUUGACCAGAGAGCCCAUGACCUGCUGCGGGGACCGGGCGGUGCUGAUGUGGGGGAGGAUGAAGCUGCCGUGGGUCUUCUCGGCAUAGCAGAUCCAGCCUGAGGUGACAGGGGGCACACGGGGCUGGCGGGGGCGCACGGCGGCCCCCGCAUCCACAGGCAGCAGCACGACAUUCUGGGGGCGGGCCCGCUCAUACAGAUCAUGAUGACAUUCAAGAGUGCUCGUUCCUGUUCUCCCCACCACCACGCGGAGCUCGGCGUGCAGGCAACACUGCCUGGGGACCUGAGGUGACUGCGCGUGGCUCCCAAGGGAGGGAAGCCCCUUCUCCAGAAAAGGCCAUUUGUGCCAACAUUUCUAACCCGUCCUGCAAAACCGGCUUGCGUCUCCACCUCCCAUCCCCCGCCUCGUCAUUCGUGUCCGUAUCACGUCACGUUUUAACUGCACUUGAACUUGACUCUCACACCACCCGCACCAUAAGCACACCUGGGCAGGCGGAGGCCAGCAGGGGCAGGGCCUGUUUGCAGUCGGCCUGUCCUCGGAAUCGCCGCACAAACUCUCGCUGGCUCUCCAGGAGGCUGAAGUGCCUUGAGAAGGCAGUGUCGAAGACGAAGUGCACCCCUGGAAGGUGAAGGUGGGUGCCUGGUUAACCCCAUGCGGGAUGCCCACGCGAGCACACGCCGGUGUGUGGACCACCAUGGUGCUGCCAGGGCACGUGUGUCGCACCUGCUUGCCAUGCCAAAGCCCCGGCCCCACCGUGGGGACCUCCUAAAGCCACGUUGCACCAAAGCCCCAGCCCCACCGUGGGGACCUCCUAAAGCCACGUUGCCUCGGCAUCCCCUAUGAACGCAGGCCUUGCUUUCCCACCCCAGAGGCAGGGCAGCCACUCAGCAGCUCAGUCCUCCACCCUCCCAGCUCCUCAGCGUGGCUGGUCCAGGGAAUUGCCACGUGCGCUGCUCCCGGUGACCCUCCCUAGGGCACAGCUGGACGCGGUCUGCUGGACUGGCCCCUCGGACCCUGACUGUGCAGACCUGCCAUAGUGGCCACCCCUCACACACAGCGGGACUCCUGGAACACGCCAGCCAGCUCCAAGCCCAGCCAUUAGAACUGCUCAGUAAACCUGCCUGAUCAUGCCCUGGACCCAGCAGAGGCACCAGCGUGUGGUCCCUCUCUCUCUGCCUGACUUGUCAUUCCUCCCUCGCGUAACCCGUGGUCAGAGGACUGCCCUCGGACUCACUGUGCCCCACUUGCCCGUGAUCUGUAAGCAAAAAUCUUUCAACUUGC
rnacentral:sRNA from 1 species